CCUACGGGUGGCAGCAGUGAGGAAUAUUGGUCAAUGGGCGCGAGCCUGAACCAGCCAUGCCGCGUGAAGGAUGACUGCUCUACGGGUUGUAAACUUCUUUUAUACAGGAAUAAAGUGAUGUACGCGUGCCUUUUUGAAUGUACUUUACGAAUAAGGAUCGGCUAACUCCGUGCCAGCAGCCGCGGUAAUACGGAGGAUCCGAGCGUUAUCCGGAUUUAUUGGGUUUAAAGGGAGCGUAGGUGGGUUGUUAAGUUAGCUGUGAAAGUUCGCGGCUCAACCGUAAAAUUGCAGUUGAUACUGGCAGCCUUGAGUACAGUUGAGGCAGGCGGAAUGCGUAGUGUAGCGGUGAAAUGCUUAGAUAUCACGAAGAACUCCGAUUGCGAAGGCAGCUUACUAGACUGGAACUGACACUGAUGCUCGAAAGUGUGGGUAUCAAACAGGAUUAGAUACCCGAGUAGUC
rnacentral:rRNA from 1 species